CACCUUCUAAACAGAAUAGUCGUUACUUGAUUUUUCAGGCAACACCUUUCUACUCUCACAGGAUAUCAUGGACGGACUAUUUUUUCAGCCCAUUGGUCAAGGUCAGUUGAAAUCUCAACCCUCCAAACUGAAGUUCUUAUGCAAGUUUGUCAUCUAGGAUGCAAGAACUAUCUCUCAACUGAGUCCAUCUAUAUGAAUUCUCUCAUGUUAGUCUCUGGCUUCAAAGUUGUGAGAACUGCCACUGUUCUACAAAUUGUGCCCCAUUGUAUUUUUGUUGAUAUGCUUUAUUAUUUCACAUAUCUAGUUUUGAUUAGAUAGUGGCCCAAAUGUACAAAUGCUGCUUUAUAUCUUGAAUCACUAUGCUGUUGAAAGAUCUGAUUUCUGGCUGAAUUAGGCCAUCUAUGUUUAUAGCUUCAAAGUAUUGUUACUGUAUUAUUAUAAGGUUCUUUUGUGACCAAACUUUUGAGUCCACAGCUUUUGUUGGUUGGCAGAGCCAUCUAACAGAUAGUUUAUUCUCAUUUUGUGAUAAUAGUUGCAUCUACUGAUUUGUUUGCUAAUUUUGUUGGUGGAACUGUCUCUUAUACUCUGCUUUGACAUUCCUUGAUCCUUCUACAUGACAGCGAGGAUAUUAUAGCUAGUGGUGCGGGCGAUGAUGCAAUCUGCUUUUUUACUGAGGAGAAGGGUAGCAUGGUAUGUUGUCCAUCCAUUGCACAUUUAUGUUUGCAUGAUUCCAAUCUUUAUAUGGCGUGUUUAGCUGCCCAUGUUCAUUUUAUGUUUGUGAUAAAUAUGAAGUACAAUGUUCUAAUUAAAAAAUAAGUAUUCAAUCUUUCCUUUAAAUAAAGGAUCGUGAGCAAUUUACAAUUUUUGGAAGAGUGCAUAGCCUUUGGAUAAACAAUCCCCCCUCCUCCCACACCACCAAUAACAAUAACAAAAUCCUAGUGACAUAGCUGGUUGCAUCAACUGGCAGUGAUGUAUGGUUCUUAUUAAUAAAACUUGACCGGGGAGGGAAAGACUGUCCUUCAGGUAUUAUGUUAAGAAGAGACCAAGACAAUGGUCUCGGUCGAGGAAAUCUUCGAACCCUGUUCUCCUAUCACUAACGGGUCGACGUCAACCAUCCACUCUGUAACGGCCCAACCAAAGGGUGGCGCACAAGACAUCGUAACCCGAGAGCGGAUGGAGACAACGAGGGGAUUUUUUUUAACAAGCCUGAAAAUUCGCCUCCGAGGGGGAUUGAACCUAGGACUUGAGGUGCUACUUGGAAGUUAACCACUAGGUUAGAGACCCUUUCACAUGUAUGGUUCUUAUUUUCCCCCAAAACGUUUUAUUAGUAUUUUCCGAGUACUGCGAUGGCUUUUUUCGUUUGCAAAAGCUGUUAGCAGCUUCUAAAGCUCUCGCUCAUGUGGAUGUCAAUCUAUUUUAGACCAAAUGGUAAAAAGAGAACAUAUUGUUUUUAUAUUUUGCACAAAUUAUUGAAUGCAUUCUGGAUUGUGCAGGUUGAAAAGCCCUCAUACAGAUUAAUAUUAAAGAAAGAGAAGGCACAUGUCAUGGACAUAAACUGUGUGCGAUGGUGUCCUCAGGUAACUUAUGAGAAUUCACAACAAAAAAGUCUCAAUUUAUUUAGUCGGCGGAUAUUGUCUGAGAAUUAGAAAUGCGAUAGUCCUUAUUUGUUUAGAUGAUGCAAUGUGCUCUCCAUGAUAUCCCUACGACCCUACCUUAAUUUUGGAUAGAGAUAUUUAUUUUCUCAUAUAAAUUUCUAGGACCCAAGGUUAUUGGCAUCUGCGAGCGACGACGGCACGGUGAAAUUGUGGGAACUGAGAGGGAAUGUGCUUGAUUGAGUUCUGUUGUAAUCACUGUAGCGUGCGUUGAGAUAAUAGAGCAGAUUAGGUAUCACCUUUGGAUUUCUGUUCUACUGAGCUCGGCUCUCUGUAGUUCAUACUUGUAUAUCGAGAGGGUAUUUUAUGAUGGUCUUUUACAAGAUUUACCGUGCAAACUAUGAACCGUGCCAUCCUCUCAGAGACAUGGUAUUGAUCGUGUAUACAUUAUGGAAGGGACAGCCGAACAUGUCCAACCAUUUUUUAAAGUUCAAUUCAUGUACAAUGAUGAGUGAUGAAUAAUGAAUAAAGAUUUGCAG
rnacentral:lncRNA from 7 species